GACGGGCCCGCACAAGCAGCGGAGCGUGUGGUUUAAUUCGAUGUUACACGAAGAACCUUACCAGGGUUUGACAUGCAAGUGGUAGGAAACCGAAAGGUGACCGACCCUUCGGGGAGCUUGCACAGGUGCUGCAUGGCUGUCGUCAGCUCGUGUCGUGAGAUGUUCGGUUAAGUCCGCUAACGAGCGCAACCCUCGUCGUGUGUUAUACGUGUCACACGAUACUGCCGGUAUCAAGCCGGAGGAAGGUGGGGAUGAUGUCAAGUCAGCAUGGCCUUUAUAUCCUGGGCUACACACACGCUACAAUGGCAGAUACAAUAGGUUGCGAAACCGCGAGGUGGAGCCAAUCCUCAAAGUCUGUCUCAGUUCAGAUUGUAGGCUGCAACUCGCCUGCAUGAAGUUGGAGUUGCUAGUAAACGCAGGUCAGCUAUACUGCGUUGAAUACGUUCCCGGGGUUU
rnacentral:rRNA from 1 species